rnacentral:rRNA from 1 species
UACGGGGGGGGCGAGCGUUGUUCGGAAUUACUGGGCGUAAAGGGCUCGUAGGCGGCCAACUAAGUCAGACGUGAAAUCCCUCGGCUUAACCGGGGAACUGCGUCUGAUACUGGAUGGCUUGAAUCCGGGAGAGGGAUGCGGAAUUCCAGGUGUAGCGGUGAAAUGCGUAGAUAUCUGGAGGAACACCGGUGGCGAAGGCGGCAUCCUGGACCGGGAUUGACGCUGAGGAGCGAAAGCCAGGGGAGCAAACGGG